UGGGGAAUUUUGGACAAUGGGGGCAACCCUGAUCCAGCCAUGCCGCGUGAGUGAAGAAGGCCUUCGGGUUGUAAAGCUCUUUCGCACGUGACGAUUAUGACGGUAACGUGAGAAGAAGCCCCGGCUAACUUCGUGCCAGCAGCCGCGGUAAUACGGAGGGUGCAAGCGUUAUCCGGAUUCACUGGGUUUAAAGGGUGCGUAGGCGGGUAGGUAAGUCAGUGGUGAAAUCCUUGAGCUCAACUCGAGAACUGCCAUUGAUACUAUUUAUCUUGAAUAUUGUGGAGGUAAGCGGAAUAUGUCAUGUAGCGGUGAAAUGCUUAGAUAUGACAUAGAACACCUAUUGCGAAGGCAGCUUACUACGCAUAUAUUGACGCUGAGGCACGAAAGCGUGGGGAUCAAACAGG
rnacentral:rRNA from 1 species